GCAUGACCUUCUUCAAAAACGGUCUUACACAAAAACACGCUCCCCGUUUUGGCGAUUUAGGGUUUGCUUUUCUGUGCGGAAAUGGCUGAUUCUCCUGGAAAAAGGUAUUCGCGCUCUCCUUCUCCUUGGGAGGAAAAGGCAAGAUCUAGAUCUAGGUCAAGGUCUAGAUCAUGGUCAAGGCCUAGAGGAAGAUCCAGGUCCAGAUCAAGGUCGAGAAGUCAUGGGAGGGAUGAACCAUCUAAUCCUGGUGUCACACUUUAUGUGACUGGUUUAUCUACAAGGGUGACACAAAGGGACCUUGAGGAGCAUUUCUCAAAGGAGGCAAAGGUGAAAUCAGUUUUCCUGGUUGUGGAGCCGCGUUCCCGCAUCUCUCGUGGUUUUGCUUUUGUAACGAUGGAUAGUCUUGAGGGUGCUGAGCGUUGCAUUAAGCACCUAAAUCAGUCUGUCCUUGAAGGCCGCUACAUAACAGUGGAGAAGUCUCGGAGGAAACGCCCGAGGACUCCAACGCCUGGUCACUAUCUAGGGCUUAAGAACGCAAGGGGUGAUGGUUUUCGUGGUGACCGAGGUGACCGUGGUAGGUAUCGCGGCCGUGAUGACUACGGGCACAGAAGAUCUCCAAGGCGUUCACCUUAUCGAGGUGGACGAGAUUAUUCUCCUAGGCGCUCACCUUAUGGGGGAAGGUCAAGAAGGGAACGAUCCAGGUCAUAUUCCCCUUAUGAAAGGAACUAUGCUCGUGGUGGUAGAUAGGAGGACGUCGACAAAGCAUCUGGUUACUGGUACCCCAAUUACAAGGGAAAACUGUUUGUAAGGAUCUUUAUGCGUUUGGUUGGACUAGAUUUAGGUCUUAUGCUACCAAUCAACGAAUGUAUGUGUGCUGUAGUGCCUGAUAUGCUCGCAUCUAGCUGAUUGUUUAAAUUAUACUGUUGUUUAUGUCAAGUAUUAUUUGUGUUUUGCAAUGUCGUUUUCUUGGUUAUGUGUGCCAGAGCCUUCUUUCUUAUUCAUGAUAUUGUGAUUUCCUUC